AUAUUUGCCUCUUCCUUCAAAUGCUGAAGUAGAUGACAGCUCAUGCACGUUCAGUUUCAACAUUUUGAUAACGCUGGCAUGCAUCUGGAAAAGGGGCAAAGAAGGUGUUGCACAUCACGAGGCUGGCACAUCUAUUUGAUACUGAAGUCAGCUAUAGUGAGUCCGUAA
rnacentral:lncRNA from 1 species